rnacentral:rRNA from 1 species
UACGGAGGGUGCAAGGGUUAUCGGGAUUCAUUGGGUUUAAAGGGUGCGUAGGCGGGUUGGAAAGUCGGGGGGGAAAUCUCCAAGCUUAACUUGGAAACUGCCGUGGAUACUAUCAAUCUUGAAUAUCGUGGAGGUAAGCGGAAUAUGUCAUGUAGCGGUGAAAUGCUUAGAUAUGACAUAGAACACCAAUUGCGUAGGCAGCUUACUACACGAUCAUUGACGCUGAGGCACGAAAGCGUGGGGAGCAAACAGG